AUUGAACGCUGGCGGCAGGCCUAACACAUGCAAGUCGAACGGCAGCAGAGUAAUUGCUCCUUGUUACGGGGGCCGACUGGUGGAUGGUGCAUGGAAACAUCCGAGUCUGCGUUGUCGUGCGUCAUGACGUGGGGGCUCUUACCCUAAUACCGCAUACGACGUACGGGUGAAAGCUUGGGACCUUCCGCUCUCGCGUGAUUCUAUGAGCCGAUGUCGGAUUAGCUAGUUGGCGGGGUAAAGGCCCACCAAGGCGACGAUCCGUAGCUGGUCUGAGAGGAUGAUCAGUCACACUGGAACUGAGACACGGUCCAGACUCCUACGGGAGGCAGCAGUGGGGAAUAUUGGACAAUGGGCGAAAGCCUGAUCCAGCCAUGCCGCGUGUGUGAAGAAGGUCUUCGGAUUGUAAAGCACUUUUGUUGGGGAAGAAAGGCAGUAAGUUAAUACCUCGCUGUUUUGACGGUACCAACAGAAUAAGCACCGGCUAACUUCGUG
rnacentral:rRNA from 1 species